rnacentral:rRNA from 1 species
CAAACUGGAGAUGGCGACCGGCGCACGGGUGAGUAACACGUAUCCAACCUGCCGAUAACUCGGGGAUAGCCUUUCGAAAGAAAGAUUAAUACCCGAUGGCAUAAUAGAACCGCAUGGUUUGAUUAUUAAAGAAUUUCGGUUAUCGAUGGGGAUGCGUUCCAUUAGGUAGUUGGUGGGGUAACGGCCCACCAAACCUUCGAUGGAUAGGGGUUCUGAGAGGAAGGUCCCCCACAUUGGAACUGAGACACGGUCCAA